rnacentral:rRNA from 1 species
CCUACGGGAGGCAGCAGUGAGGAAUAUUGGUCAAUGGACGAGAGUCUGAACCAGCCAAGUAGCGUGAAGGAUGACUGCCCUAUGGGUUGUAAACUUCUUUUAUAUGGGAAUAAAACGCUCCACGUGUGGGGUUUUGUAUGUACCAUAUGAAUAAGGAUCGGCUAACUCCGUGCCAGCAGCCGCGGUAAUACGGAGGAUCCGAGCGUUAUCCGGAUUUAUUGGGUUUAAAGGGUGCGUAGGUGGAUUGUUAAGUCAGUUGUGAAAGUCUGGUGCUCAACCGUAAAACUGCAGUUGAAACUGGCAGUCUUGAGUACAGUUGAGGUAGGCGGAAUUCGUGGUGUAGCGGUGAAAUGCUUAGAUAUCACGCAGAACUCCGAGUGCGAAGGCAGUUCACUGGACAGUAACUGACGCUGAGGCUCGAAAGUGUGGGUAUCAAACAGGAUUAGAUACCCCAGUAGUC